AAAUUUAAGGUCUAACCUGCCCACUGAAAAUUUAAAUGGCCGUGGUAUUUUGACCGUGCUAAGGUAGCAUAAUCAUUAGUUUUUUAAUUAAGAACUGGAAUGAAAGGUUGGAUAAAAAAAUAGCUGUCUCUGUUAAAUUUUAUUAGAAUUUUAUUUUUAAGUUAAAAAGCUUAAAUUUAUUUAAAAGACGAGAAGACCCUAUAGAGUUUUAUUGUUUAUUAAAAGUUAUUUUUUGGUAUUUAUUAAUUUAUUUUAUUUAACAAUUUAAUUGGGGUGAUUGAAAAAUUAGGUGAACUUUUUUUAUUUUAAAACAUUAAUUUAUGAUUUAAUGAUCCAAUAUUUUUGAUUAUAAGAUUAAAUUACCUUAGGGAUAACAGCGUAAUUUUUUUAGAGAGUUCAUAUUAAAAAAAAAGAUUGCGACCUCGAUGUUGGAUUAAAAUUAAUUUUUGGUGUAGAAGCUAAAAUAUUAGGUCUGUUCGACCUUUAAAAUUUUA
rnacentral:rRNA from 1 species